GGUUGAUGGAGGUGCUGCUACAGC
rnacentral:siRNA from 1 species